rnacentral:rRNA from 1 species
AUUGAACGCUGGCGGCAGGCCUAACACAUGCAAGUCGAACGAGUGGCGGACGGGUGAGUAAUGUCUGGGAAACUGCCCGAUGGAGGGGGAUAACUACUGGAAACGGUAGCUAAUACCGCAUACCAUCGGAUGUGCCCAGAUGGGAUUAGCUUGUAGGUGGGGUAACGGCUCACCAAGGCGACGAUCCCUAGCUGGUCUGAGCGGAUGACCAGCCACACCGGGAAUGAGACACGGUCCAGACUCCUAAGGGAGGCAGGCGUGGGGAAUAUUGCACCAUGGGCGCAAGCCUGAUUCAGCCAUGCCGCGGGGAUGAAGAAGGCCUUCGGGUUGGAAAGUACUUUCAGGCAGGAGGCGUUAAUCGCCGAAGAAGCCCCGGCUAAAUCCGGGCCCGCCGCCGCGGUAAUAC